UACGUAGGGGGCAAGCGUUGUCCGGAAUUAUUGGGCGUAAAGAGCGUGUAGGCGGCCAGAUAAGUCCGCUGUGAAAUCUCGAGGCUCAACUUCGAGCUGUCGGUGGAAACUAUCUGGCUAGAGUCCGGAAGAGGAGAAUGGAAUUCCUGGUGUAGCGGUGAAAUGCGCAGAUAUCAGGAAGAACACCAAUGGCGAAAGCAGCUCUCUGGGACGGUACUGACGCUGAGACGCGAAAGCGUGGGGAGCGAACAGG
rnacentral:rRNA from 1 species